rnacentral:rRNA from 1 species
ACACGUAGGGGCCUGACGUUGUUCGGAAUCAUUGGGCGUAAAGGGCGCGCAGGCGGCCGUACAAGUCCGGUGUUAAAUGGUCGGGCUCAACCCGAUCAUGCGCUGGAAACUGGGCGGCUUGAGUCCCGUAGGGGAUGCCGGAAUUCCAGGGGUAGGGGUGAAAUGCGUAGAUAUUAGGAGGAACACCAGUGGCGAAGGCGGCUUGCUGGACAAAUACUGACGCUGAGGUGCGAAAGCGUGGGGAGCGAACAGGAUUAGAUACCCUGGUAGUCCACGCCGUAAACGAUGAAUGCUAGGUGUUGGGGAAACUCAGUGCCGCAGUUAACACAAUAAGCAUUCCACCUGGGGAGUACGUUCGCAAGAAUGAAACUCAAAUGAAUUGGCGGGG